rnacentral:tRNA from 1 species
GGCCCCGUCGUCUAACGGUUAGGACACAGGGUUCUCAUCCCUGUAAUUGGGGUUCGAUUCCCCACGGGGUCA